CCAACGCAUCCAUCCCCAGAGGAACAAGCGAGGAUCUCAGAGCGCGACCUGGACAGGCUCUCACAAAAGUCACCGCGUUUGUGUAGGUAACUAAGGCCUACCGAAACCAGUCAGCCCUAAGUGCACACAGGAGAACCAUGGAGUUGGAGGAAAAGCAGGGAUGUGAAGACAAGACAUAUUAGCAGAGGUGGAUUUACUCUGAAACUGAUGAAGGUCCCAUACAGAGAGAAGAAACAGACAACCUGAAUCACAUUCAAAAGAGAGUCUCCACAAUAGUGAGGGCUGCAAAACCAGGUGACAUGAAAACCAAGAGAAUGAAUUACAUAGAUUUGUUUAACCUAAGGAAGAAAAGAUUCUGGACACGUGAGGGCCGAUUUUCAUUCCUCAGAGCUCUCUCCUUUGGAGGCUUCUUUGUUUGGGCCCCACUUCCAUUCUUCACAUUCAGCAGUUACUGGGAGACGACCUUACCAUGGCCUGUCCCUCCGUGUUCAUCCCAAUCGCAUCCAGAUGCCUCUCUGGCCUCAUCUCCUAGUGUUCCUGUGUCCGGAAUUGGUGGGUUCUUGGUCUCGCUAACUUCAACAAUGAAGCCUCGGACCCUGGCGGUGAGUGUUACAGUUCUUAAAGGCAGCGUGUCCGGAGUUUGUUCCUUCUGAUGUUUGGAUGUGUUCGGAGUUUCUUCCUUCUGGUGGGUUCAUGGUCUCCUUGGCUCAGGAGUGAAGCUGCAGACCUUCGCGGUAGCCUGAAGAAUCCCUGAAAUGGCUAAUUUCCAGAUAUUGGGAAUCUGGAAUUCGAAGCCCAAAGAGGACACAGGACCUGCCCAAGUAUACACAGCUUGUUGUUGACAGAACCAGAACAACACACAGUUCUCUUUUCUUCCAGAAAAGUGGGGCUGGUUCCAUUUCUCACUCCUGUCUUCCUUUGGAUGGAGGAAAAUGAUAAUGAAACCUAACAUAAUGCCUAUUUCAACUUCAGAAAUUUUCCUCAAAUAAUUGAAUCAGUAGGUUUGAGGCUUCUUGGGAAUCAUUAUGUUAGACCUGAAACAGAAAUAGCCAAUCCCUUGGUUGAAACGUGUUACAUUUAAAUUGAUACUGCUUUUCCCCAAAGUGCAAUUAGAAAAGACAAAGACCUACUUCUGUAAAUGUUGUUAAGGGAAAAUGGAGCAGGUGUCUCCUUUCUUUCAUUUCUCUGGGUCAGUUGUACUCCUGAAGUCUCUCUCUGUUUAGAUGUCUAUUGUUGUUCUCGGUUGCCAGGGAUGAUUCUCCCAGUGGCUGCUGAGGAUUGCUUUAGGUGAAAAGAUAAAUUCACAGGGCCAGGGAAAGGGGCAACCUCAAAUGUGCCAGACACGUCCCAUACACUGACUCCUUCAGGCUUCACAACCACACUGGAGGCCACGCAUUAUGUUUCCUGUAUGUAUUAUUUCAUCCAUUUGUCUAAUAGAAUAUUAUUUAAUGUCCAUUAAGUUCCAGCACUGUGGAAGCAGUGAUGAGACUGAAUAAAAGAGACACUGUCCCUGUCUCUGUGGAUCUUGCUUUCUGGCAGAAGAGCUGGACAGUAAAUGAAUAAUUAAAUACAAUUUUCACUGUCAACCCCAUUUUAUAGAUGAGGAGGCUGAGGCUCAGUUGGUUAAAGUACCUGGCAGGAGCCAUUCACCAAUUAACCAGGAGAAUGUAAGGUCCACAGCUUGCCCAUGUUCCACCACACUGACCCUUAGCAUUAUGUUUCUGGAGAGAAUAAACAGAUAGGAAUCUCAAGGGGUCCCUUCCUUUCAGAACACAAAGAGGGUUGAGCCAUCACCAACAAACACAGGCAAAUGCAGAGCACCAACAGCCUGAGGUAAAAACCACCACAGGAUACUCACGGUUUCACUUUUUUUUUUUUUUAACAGAACUCCUCAGUAGCCUUUUAAUUUUAUUUUAUUUUUAAUAGACUUUACUUUUUAGAGCAGUUUUAGGUUCAUAGCAAAUUUAGGCAGAAAGUACAAAGAACCAUACAUGAUGGCUUCCUCCACCAUCAACAUUCUGGACCACAGUGGUACAUUUGUUACAACUGAUGAACCUACAUUGACACAUCAUUAUCACCCAAAGUCUAUAGUUCACACAAGGGUUUACUGUUAGGUGAGUGAACCCUAAUGUGAACUGAGUGAACCCUAAUGUGAACCCCUUAUAUCUCUUAAACUAGGGUUGCAUAUUCUAUGGUGAUACAGUUUGGCUUUAUGUCCCCACCCAAAUCUCAUCUUGAAUUGUAAUCUGCACAUGUCAAGGAAGGGAGGUGAUUGGAUCAUGGGGGUGAUUUCCUCCAUGCUGAUCUCAUGACAGUGAGUGAGUUCUCAUGAGAUCUGAUGGUUGAUAAGCAUCUGGCAUUUCCCCUGCAUGCACUUCUCUCUCCUGCCGCCAUGUGAAGAAGGUCCUUGCUUCCCCUUCUCCUUCCACCAUAGUUAUAAGUUUCCUGAGGCCUCCCCAGCCAUGUUAAACUGUGGGUCAAAUAAACCUCCUUUGUCUAUAAAUUACCCAGUAUCAGGUAGUAUCUUUAUAGCAGUGUGAUAAUGGCCUAAUACAUAUGGAUUUGGGCAAAUGUAUAAUCACAUGUAUGGACCAUUAUAAUAUGAAACAGAGUAGUUUCACUGCCCUAAAAAUCCUCUUUACUCCACCUAUUCAUUUCUUCCUCCUCCUUGAUGCUGGAAAUCCACUGAUCUUUUACUAUGUCAUAGUUUUGUCUUUUUCCAGAAUAUUGUAAAGUUGGAAUCUACAAUAUGUAGCCUUUUCAGAUUGGCUUCUUUCACUUGGUAAUUUGCAAGUUUCUUCCAUGUCUUUUGAUGACUUCAUAGCUCAUUUCUUUAUAGUGCUGAAUAGUACUCCAUUGUGUAGAUGUGUAGUUCUGUACAAUUUUAAUUCUGUUUGCUCCAGCAAUUAUCUUUGCAAUUAAGAGCACCAGCUCAACUAAGGGGAGUUUAAAAAGAAGACACACACAAUAAAAUCUAAAAAGAUAUGAAAUAAAGAAAAAGGGAAGCAAUCUGAAAAGGGAUAGUGCUGGGAGCCCAAGACACACAUUUUACACAUUACAUAAAUUCUGAGAGCCUCAAAUUUCUCACCUGUGAAAUGCCUGUGGUAAUAGUAACAGUCACUUCAUACUGUUUCUAUGGUGAGUAAAUAAGCUGAAAUAUGAAGUCAUCUAGGAGGAUGUUAGGCACCAACAGGUGUGUAUGAGUCAGAAUUCUCCAAAGAAACAGAACCAAUAGAUAUAUAUGGAAAGGAGAUCUAUUGGGGGUAUUGGCUCACACAAUCAGAGGUAAAGUCAUAGAGAUGAUAGGCUGUCUGCAAGAUGGAGAACCAGAGAGGCCAGUAGUGUGGCUCCCAGGAAAGCCUGUACCAUGGCUCAGGGCAAGUCCAAAACCUCAGAACUGGGGAAGUUGACAGUGGAGUCCUAGUGUGAGGCUAAAGGCCUGAGAACCUCAGGAGACCAUGGGUUCGAAUCCCAGAAUCAAGAAGCCAAAGACCCUGGAGUCUGAUAUCAAGGGCAGGAGAAGAAAAAGGCAUCCCACUCUGGCAGAGAGAGAGAGAGAGAGAGAGAGAGAGAGAGCAAGAGAGAGAUGAGUAUCCCUCUUCUUCUGCCUGCUUUUUCUUAGAGGGGCCCCCAGCCAACUGGAUACUGCCUGUUCACGUUGAGGGCAGGUCUUAGUUCACUGACUCCCAUGUCAAUCACCUCUGGAAACACCCUCACAGACACACCCAGAAUAACACUUCACCAGCCAUCUAGGCAUCCCUUGAUCCAGUCAAGUUGACAUCUGAUAUUAACCAUUACAAGGUGUUUCUUUCUUUGCUCUUGAACAUAGAAAACAGUCAAUAGUGCUUUCUACACUAUGGUUAAGGUACGUUCCUGUAGCCUUUACUUUUAUCCACAUGAUGUUUUGCUUGUGUUAAGAAAGAUCUGCUAUUCCCUAGACUAGACCCUUUGGGCAUUUUUCAGACUAAUGCUCUGGGGUGCAUACGUUGUGCAGCAAACGUAUGACAUAUUUUCUCAAAUUUACAUAAAGUUACUUUUGCUUCAGUGUACUUAUUGCAAGCUUUUUUUUUUUUUGAGAUGGAGUCUUACUCUGUCGCCCAGGCUGGAAUGCAGUGGUCCAAUCACGGCUCACUGAAAGCUCUGUCUGCCGGGUUCACGCCAUUCUCCUGCCUCAGCCUCCUGAGUAGCUGGGACUAUAGGUGCCUGCCACCACACCCGGCUAAUUUUUUGUAUUUUUAGUAGAAACGGGGUUUCAUCGUGUUAGCCAGGAUGGUCUCGAUCUCCUGACCUCGUGAUCUACCCGCCUCGGCCUCCCAAAGUGCUGGGAUUACAGGCGUGAGCCACCGCGCCUGGCCGCAAGCUUUUAUUCAGAAACUUUUACGCAUUCAUUUCCCCUGAUAGGCUGAGUUUUUAGAAAGCUCAUACUAUAUCUUAUUCCUCUUCGUGUUCCUGGUAAACAGCCUGCUACAUAUUGGAUGCUGAUUAAAUACUUGCUAAACAGAGAGUAAACUUAGAUUAUUAAAGUCCAAUGCGGACUUAAUAUAAACAUCCUAAAAAUAUCUUUUUUCACCCCAUACUGUAAUACUGGGUUUCUCAGCCUCACCACUGUUGACAUUUUGGAUGGGAUAAUUCUUUGUCAUAAGGCCGUGAGCUGUUUAGCAACAUCUCAGCCUUUAUCCACUAGACACCAGUGGCAAUCCCUCCCCUGUGCUGUGACAACCAAAAACGUCUCCAGACACUGCCCAAUGUCCACUGGGAGGCAAAAUCACCCCUGAUUGAGAACUGCUAUUGUAAGAUAACUUGUUAAUCAUCUCACCCACCAUACAUUUCCAAUUAAACUUUUAUCCACUCCACAAAA
rnacentral:lncRNA from 1 species